AUACGGAGGAUGCAAGCGUUAUCCGGAUUUAUUGGGUUUAAAGGGUGCGUAGGCUGACGUGUAAGUCAGAGGUGAAAUGCCCGGGCUCAACCUGGGAACUGCCUUUGAUACUGCAUGUCUGGAGUUCGGAUGCCGUGGGAGGAAUGGGCAGUGUAGCGGUGAAAUGCAUAGAUAUUGCCCAGAACACCGAUUGCGAAGGCAUCUCACGAAUCCGACACUGACGCUGAGGCACGAAAGCGUGGGGAUCAAACAGGAUUAGAUACCCUGGUAGUCCACGCAGUAAACGAUGAUAACUAACCGUCGGCGAUAGACAGUCGGUGGCCAAGCGAAAGCGAUAAGUUAUCCACCUGGGGAGUACGUUCGCAAGAAUGAAACUCAAAUGAAUUGACGGGG
rnacentral:rRNA from 1 species